rnacentral:rRNA from 1 species
GACGAACGCUGGCGGCGUGCCUAAUACAUGCAAGUAGAACGCUGAAGGAGGAGCUUGCUUCUCCGGAUGAGUUGCGAACGGGUGAGUAACGCGUAGGUAACCUGCCUGGUAGCGGGGGAUAACUAUUGGAAACGAUAGCUAAUACCGCAUAAGAGUAGAUGUCGCAUGACAUUUGCUUAAAAGGUGCAACUGCACCACUACCAGAUGGACCUGCGUUGUAUUAGCUAGUUGGUGAGGUAACGGCUCACCAAGGCAACGAUACAUAGCCGACCUGAGAGGGUGAUCGGCCACACUGGGACUGAGACACGGCCCAGACUCCUACGGGAGGCAGCAGUAGGGAAUCUUCGGCAAUGGACGGAAGUCUGACCGAGCAACGCCGCGUGAGUGAAGAAGGUUUUCGGAUCGUAAAGCUCUGUUGUAAGAGAAGAACGAGUGUGAGAGUGGAAAGUUCACACUGUGACGGUAUCUUACCAGAAAGGGACGGCUAACUACGUGC